GGAGCCGGCCAAGCACGG
rnacentral:rRNA from 1 species